CCUCGCACCAUAAAUAGCCGCAGAGGAGGCGUCUUUCAGAACAGAAAUGCUUUGUACAUCCUGCGGAUCCAGUCUUGUCAGGUCCCUGGUUUCCGAGGGAAUUCCAUCAAUAAUAAUCAGCGGAUCCCCCUCAUUGAUCGAAGUAAAACCACGAAUGUUGAUCCUCGGUUCUGAUCCCGGCGCUCCUUCAAAGAAAUCGACGUUCAGGUUGGGGAUCAUACCCUGCAGACCCUGUGAUAAGUUUGAAAUAGACCGGCCUUCCAGUUGUCGCACAUCGAUCUGAUCCACUGCCCCCGAAAGGUUUACUCUUCGUUGAGUUCCAAAGCCAACGACAACAGCCUCCUCCA
rnacentral:misc_RNA from 1 species